rnacentral:rRNA from 1 species
CCUACGGGAGGCUGCAGUGGGGAAUAUUGGGCAAUGGGCGCAAGCCUGACCCAGCAACGCCGCGUGAAGGAAGAAGGCUUUCGGGUUGUAAACUUCUUUUAUCAGGGACGAAGCAAGUGACGGUACCUGAUGAAUAAGCCACGGCUAACUACGGGCCAGCAGCCGCGGUAAUACGUAGGUGGCAAUCGUUAUGCGGAUUUAAUGGGUGUAAAGGUCGUGUAGGCGGUAGUGCAAGUCAGAGGUGAAAACUAUGGGCUCAACCCAUAGCGUGCAUUUGAAACUGUACUUCUUGAGUGCUGGAGAGGCAAGCGGAAUUCCGUGUGUAGCGGUGAAAUGCAUAGAUAUACGGCGGAACACCAGUGGCGAAGGCGGAUUGCUGGACAGUAACUGACGCUGAGGCGCGAAAGCGUGGGGAGCAAACAGGAUUAGAUACCCCAGUAGUC